AGUUCCAAGAUGUUAUGGUCAGCAUUAUGGAUUUUGAAUCCAGCGAUCUGCGUGUUUAAAUCUCAUUGGAACUA
rnacentral:tRNA from 1 species